rnacentral:rRNA from 1 species
AGGGCACCACCAGGAGUGGAGCCUGCGGCUUAAUUUGACUCAACACGGGAAAACUCACCCGGCCCGGACACUGGAAGGAUUGACAGAUUGAGAGCUCUUUCUUGAUUCAGUGGGUGGUGGUGCAUGGCCGUUCUUAGUUGGUGGAGUGAUUUGUCUGGUUAAUUCCGAUAACGAACGAGACUCUAGCCUACUAAAUAGAUCGUCGGCUUACAAACGCCGGCGAGACUUCUUAGAGGGACAGGCGGUGAUUCAACCGCACGAAACAGAGCAAUAACAGGUCUGUGAUGCCCUUAGAUGUCCGGGGCCGCACGCGCGCUACACUGAAGUGAUCAGCGUGCUUUUUCAACCUACUCUGUCAAGAGUGGGGAACCCAAUGAACCUUCUUCGUGAUUGGGAUAGGGGAUUGUAAUUAUUCCCCUUGAACGAGGAAUUCCCAGUAAGCGCGAGUCAUAAGCUCGCGUUGAUUACGUCCCUGCCCUUUGUGCACACCGCCCGUCGCUACUACCGGUUGAAUGUUUU